rnacentral:rRNA from 1 species
UACGUAGGGGGCAAGCGUUGUCCGGAAUCAUUGGGCGUAAAGAGCGCGUAGGCGGCCCGGCAAGUCCGCUGUAAAAGUCCAGGGCUCAACCCUGGAAAGCCGGUGGAUACUGUCGGGCUAGAGUCCGGAAGAGGCGAGUGGAAUUCCUGGUGUAGCGGUGGAAUGCGCAGAUAUCAGGAGGAACACCGAUGGCGAAGGCAGCUCGCUGGGACGGUACUGACGCUGAGGCGCGAAAGCUAGGGGAGCGAACAGG